UAAAAACAAUAACUAGUGUUUUGUAUACUGUAUAUCCCAAAACCAAAGUGCACGUAUUACAUUUAAAUAUAUGUUCCAAUUUCAACAUAUACAUACAUUUUAAUAUAAAAGAUUAUUCUAUAACAACUAAACCAACUCGAUCAAGCGCGCUAAAGGCAAUAAUAAAUACUUGUUGGUAAAAAACUUAGCCUAUUGCUCACGAACCACAUCAAUUUCCUCGCAUAAGGCGCAAUCCUCGGAGUGUAGACCUUUACAAAAACAGAAAUUUAAAUUAAACAUUAGAUUAAAUACAAAUUAAAUAUCACAUUUUAACAUUCAAGCAACUAAUGACAAUGUCCUAAUAGUCUAAAAUGAGUCCUUAGGUUCUUUAGUUCAAAGUUGGGAGCGAAAAUGUCAUUUUAGCCUAAAUAUGACCUAUAAAGACCCAAUGAGCCUAAAGGUGCAUAAAUAGAUUGGAACGAGUCUUAGAUCGUUAAAAUUAUGCAUAUUAAACAUGUAAUAAGUUUUAAAUGAGUCCUUAGGUUCUUUAUUUUAAAAUUGGGAGCGAAAAUGCCUUAUUUUAGCCUAGAUAUGACCUAUAACGAUCAAACAAGCAUUAAAUGUGCAUAAGUAGAUUAGAAUAAGUCUUAGAAACUUAAAGGAAAAUUUGUCAAUUACAACCCAAUAAAAUUACCACUUUACGAAUUACAACCUUAAACUUUCAAUUUUGUGAAUUACAACCUCAAACUCAAUAUCGUACUUUAAAUUACAACCCGAUGUCAUAUUCCGGCUAAAACAAUCGGAUUAUGAUGUCAUUAAUAUAUUUUAAAUCUAAUUAAAUAAUCCAAAAAAAAUACUCAUUAAUCAGAAUUUUUUUUUUUUAAAAAAAAGACCCAAUAACUUUUUUCAUUCACAUAAUCCCUACGGCAUUUUUCAAUUAACCUCCUCCUCUCAUUCAUCUCUGCCCAACUCCCCUCCCCUCCCUCCUCAAUAACUAAUCUCCUCAACUACCAAACUUUAAUGCUAACGAUGAUGAUAAGGUAAGGUACAAGGCAAGCUGUGCUUCCCAAAUAUGUGAUGCUGAUGUUGCAAAAAACAGGGGGCUUGUGGCAGUGAUGAUGCAGAUGCAGUAAUGUCUUUGCCUUGAUGCAGAUGAUGAUGAUGAUGCAGAUGUUAGGGGUUCAUGAUGAUGAUGUUAGGCUUAAAGUAGUGUGUAGGUUGUAAUUAGGGAUAUGAUCUUGAUGAUGAUGUACUAGUAAUUUUGGGCUUAAACUAGUGUAGUAACUAGUAAGUUGUAUUUCAGGCUGUUGUGGUUUAGGGUUCUUAGUGAUCACGUAAACUCGUGUUACGUUGACAGCAUGUUGUAAGUUGAACUACUCAUGAAUGAAAUAUCUUGCAAGAUUAUUAGAUUAAUUUUCACAA